AUGAUCAAUCACAGGUCCUUAUCGGAAAAAAAGAUCAAUCACAGGUGGGUGGAUCCGGCAAUCAGUCAAACGCUUCGAGCAAGAUGGAUUAAAGAAAGUGAUUUUAAUGAUCUCGUUGAGGAAACGUGGCAGCAGGUUGGAUCCAACCCGAACCUUUUAUCCGUUCAUGCUAAACUUAAUCGCAUGCACGAUAUGUUUCACGAUUGGGAUCAAAGGGUUCUCAAGAAGCCUAAGAAAAGGUUGAGAAAGGCGCAAAGAGAUUUGGAAAAGAUAAUAACUGGCCCUAUGAAUGAUGAGACAGAGGAGAAGAGAAAUGAGCUAUCUGAACUGAUAGAAUUUUUGUUAGAACUUGAGGAAAUUCACUAUAUGCAGCGGUCGAGAUCUAAUUGGCUCCAGUUGGGUGAUCGAAAUACUGAUUUUUUUCAGGCAUAUGCAUCAGCGUGGAGAAAGAAAAAUUAUAUCAAGAAACUGAACGAUGGAGAUGGUAAUUCUGUGGAAGGUACGACGCCUCUCAGCCAACAUAUUCAUAAUUACUUUAGUAAUUUGUUCAGUUUGGAAGUUCAGCAGGUAGACCCUGAGAUUAUGCAGGAAGUUCAGACUAAAGUGACUAAUCAGAUGAAUGAUUUCCUGAUUCACCAUAUACGCAUGAUGAUGUUCGCAAGGCCGUGUUUAGUAUUGGUGAUUUAA
rnacentral:rRNA from 1 species